rnacentral:tRNA from 1 species
GGGCGCGUAGUUCAGGGGUUAGAAUGCCUCGUUUACACCGAGGAGGUCAUAGGUUCGAAUCCUAUCGCGCCCACCA